UGUUGUUCUGUUGUUCGAUUGGUUCCAAUUGGUUGUGGGUUUCGUCUCAGUUGAUGACGGCUUAAGCUCGAGGGUGGUCCUACGGCUUAAGCUCGAGGGUUGUGAGUUAUCAAACCGAUGGCUUAAGCUCGAGGGUUGUGGAUUUAUCUUUUUUUUUUUUUUUGUUUUUUUAUCUUUUUUUUUGUUUACUUCAAGUGUUGUUCAAUCUCCACCUCUAAAUGGAGAUCUAAAUGUUAGAUCUGGAUUUCUAGAAUCUUAGAGAAUAUUUUUGUGGAUUUAUAAGAAAAGGAGGGCCGUUUGGAGCACCCGAUUUCUGUCAAACAUAUAGAUGGGUUUGAGCUAUGGCUACGCUAUUUUAUUCUUUAUGUUCUCUUCUGCUUAUCAAUUUUAUUCUUUGUGGGUCAGAUCUGUGCUAGCAUACGUAUUUUUUGUUAGUCAAUAUUUUUUUGUGUUGAUCCUCUUGUUGGUAGAUGCCUUAGGAUCUUCUAUUACUUGGGUCUUCACUGAAUGAUGCUUAUUUGCUGUAAUAUUGAGGGUAAUGCCCUUGAACCUACGAAACAUGCUGAAUAUCAUAUGAUUCUUUGUUGAACUGGAUUGUUUUGUUAGUAUAGAAGUAAUGGGAGUAUAUUGUUGAAAGUAUAACAUUUGUGUAGAAAAUGAAAAGGGGAAGAAUCUUUGGUAGAUCUGGGUUUCUUGUGAUUUUGUUAAACACGUAUAAAGUAUAAGCUGUUAUUUUGAUUGAUCUGGGUUUUUUUUUUUUUUUUUUUUUUUUUCUGUUAAACAUGGGUAUAAAGAGAGUGGGGUUUUUUUUUUUUUGGGUUGUUUUUUGAAUCGUGGAGAUGUUUUAGGAAAGGAAAACAGAUUCUCAGGAAAGGUUGAGCAAAUUAAGUCCUUUCAGAUUCCCCCCCACUUCUGGAAUUUCUCCAUCAAAUCUGUUGUUCGAGAGAUCAAUAACUACUAAGAAAUCAGGGACUCUAUCAUAUAGUGUAUCCAUGCCUUUGAUGAUCAUUGUCAUUGAGUAAGAGUGGCGACGGCUCAUUCUUUCUCCUUCAAGUGUCACUACAGUAUGGCUUUCCUCCACGUACUUUAAGCUCUCAGCAUCGACGAUUUGAGAGAUGAAGUUAUAAAAGGAUGGGAUGAAGGGGUCGCGACCAUGAAGAAGGGUGAGAGAGCAAUCUUCACAAUACCACCAAACUUAGCCUAUGGGGAACUCGGCUCUCCACCCCUGAUUUCUCCCAAUUCAAUUCUCAUUUUUGAUAUUGAAAUGUUGUAUUGACCACUAUCAGAGACAUAACUGGUGAUCAAGUGCUAGGUAAUAUUGACAGUGUUAGGAGAGUUUUUCUUUUGUUAAACAUGAAAAACAGAAACUAAAAUACAGUAAUGCAUCAUUGAAGUUGUUUUGAUAAGAACAAACUACAAUCUUGCUAAGCUUUGCUAUUAACUUGUUAACAAACCCCAAGUUGCUGUUUUAGCUUGGAAGGAUGAUGGUCUGUAGUUCCUAUCUUCAUUGUAUAUAUCAGUGUGAAGCUUUUGGAA